AUACGGAAGGUCCGGGCGUUAUCCGGAUUUAUUGGGUUUAAAGGGAGCGCAGGCGGAGAUGCAAGCGUGACGUCAAAUUUCGGGGCUCAACCCCGUCUCGCGUCGCGAACUGCGUCCCUUGGUUGCGGGAAGGGGAGGCGGAACUCGUGGUGUAGCGGUGAAAUGCAUAGAUAUCACGAAGAACUCCGAUCGCGAAGGCAGGCUUCCGGCCCGUCAACGACGCUCAUGCUCGAAGGUGCUGGUAUCAAACAGGAUUAGAUACCCUGGUAGUCCGCACAGUAAACGAUGGACACCCGCGGUUUGGCCUGUAUGGCUGAGCCGCCAAGCGAAAGCGUUAAGUGUCCCACCUGGGGAGUACGCCGGCAACGGUGAAACUCAAAGGAAUUGACGGGG
rnacentral:rRNA from 1 species